AGACGAACGCUGGCGGCGUGCCUAAUACAUGCAAGUCGAACGAACUCUGGUAUUGAUUGGUGCUUGCAUCAUGAUUUACAUUUGAGUGAGUGGCGAACUGGUGAGUAACACGUGGGAAACCUGCCCAGAAGCGGGGGAUAACACCUGGAAACAGAUGCUAAUACCGCAUAACAACUUGGACCGCAUGGUCCGAGCUUGAAAGAUGGCUUCGGCUAUCACUUUUGGAUGGUCCCGCGGCGUAUUAGCUAGAUGGUGGGGUAACGGCUCACCAUGGCAAUGAUACGUAGCCGACCUGAGAGGGUAAUCGGCCACAUUGGGACUGAGACACGGCCCAAACUCCUACGGGAGGCAGCAGUAGGGAAUCUUCCACAAUGGACGAAAGUCUGAUGGAGCAACGCCGCGUGAGUGAAGAAGGGUUUCGGCUCGUAAAACUCUGUUGUUAAAGAAGAACAUAUCUGAGAGUAACUGUUCAGGUAUUGACGGUAUUUAACCAGAAAGCCACGGCUAACUACGUGCCAGCAGCCGCGGUAAUACGUAGGUGGCAAGCGUUGUCCGGAUUUAUUGGGCGUAAAGCGAGCGCAGGCGGUUUUUUAAGUCUGAUGUGAAAGCCUUCGGCUCAACCGAAGAAGUGCAUCGGAAACUGGGAAACUUGAGUGCAGAAGAGGACAGUGGAACUCCAUGUGUAGCGGUGAAAUGCGUAGAUAUAUGGAAGAACACCAGUGGCGAAGGCGGCUGUCUGGUCUGUAACUGACGCUGAGGCUCGAAAGUAUGGGUAGCAAACAGGAUUAGAUACCCUGGUAGUCCAUACCGUAAACGAUGAAUGCUAAGUGUUGGAGGGUUUCCGCCCUUCAGUGCUGCAGCUAACGCAUUAAGCAUUCCGCCUGGGGAGUACGGCCGCAAGGCUGAAACUCAAAGGAAUUGACGGGGGCCCGCACAAGCGGUGGAGCAUGUGGUUUAAUUCGAAGCUACGCGAAGAACCUUACCAGGUCUUGACAUACUAUGCAAAUCUAAGAGAUUAGACGUUCCCUUCGGGGACAUGGAUACAGGUGGUGCAUGGUUGUCGUCAGCUCGUGUCGUGAGAUGUUGGGUUAAGUCCCGCAACGAGCGCAACCCUUAUUAUCAGUUGCCAGCAUUAAGUUGGGCACUCUGGUGAGACUGCCGGUGACAAACCGGAGGAAGGUGGGGAUGACGUCAAAUCAUCAUGCCCCUUAUGACCUGGGCUACACACGUGCUACAAUGGAUGGUACAACGAGUUGCGAACUCGCGAGAGUAAGCUAAUCUCUUAAAGCCAUUCUCAGUUCGGAUUGUAGGCUGCAACUCGCCUACAUGAAGUCGGAAUCGCUAGUAAUCGCGGAUCAGCAUGCCGCGGUGAAUACGUUCCCGGGCCUUGUACACACCGCCCGUCACACCAUGAGAGUUUGUAACACCCAAAGUCGGUGGGGUAACCUUUUAGGAACCAGCCGCCUAAGGUGGGACAGAUGAUUAGGGUGA
rnacentral:rRNA from 2 species